rnacentral:lncRNA from 1 species
AAUGAAUAAGAUAUUUUAACCUAUUUCGAUGCCAUCUUGAAUCUAAGACUUCUUCUACCUCAAACUCUUGAUUAUUAUCCACUUCUAUAGGAGGAAGUGACAUUUGUCUUUUUCUCAAGAUAUUCACUAUCUUAUACGGCUUAAAGAGGGGCAUGUGAAAUAGAAGAUGGAUCUUCAUAUACUUCAGUAGAUGUAAUCA